UAUAAUUUAGUAUAUGAUGUACAUAAAUUUUUGAUAUUUAGAGAAAUAGUUUGAUUCUAUUAAUUGUAA
rnacentral:tRNA from 1 species